UCUUAUAGAUGGAAUAACAUUCGACAUUUGAUAUUUCAAAUAAUAGAAAACUCAGUUAGAGUUCAGAUUUUCACUCUAUUCAGUAUUACCAAAUCAUUAUUCUUUAAUUUUACAUAUCCCAAUACACAAAAUUAACUGUUAUCUUUAAACCAAUUUUCAUGUUAAUCUCUCAUCAAUUCGUGAUUUGUUGACAUACAUGAUUAAUUGACACACGAAAACAAAACAUUUACUUUCGAUGCAGCCACUAAUGGUACCUUUUAGUAAAACAAAGCUUUGUACCAUUCUCUUUGUCAUACAUUAAAAAAUGGAACUAGUCAAUGUGUAUUUUCUCUUUUGUCGAUAUCAAUCACGAAAUCGAAAAAAAUAAUUAUAUAAGACAAAUUAUUCUUUUCAUUUGCAAUUAAUCGAAAGUGGAGUUGGUCGAAUUUUUGUGCAUAGUGAUUUUCCUCGAUAUCGAGAAUUAAAUUACCUGGUAAUUUAUAAGUUUUCUAACUACGAUUUCUUAAUAUAAUGAGUAAAAUUCAAGAUUUUGAACUAAUUUGAACUAUUGAGAAUUCUCAGAAUUUUUUCUACUAAUGAAAAAUGAUUACAGAAAGAUCACUCACCAUAAAUAGAUUCGACAGAUUGAAAGGUCUCUGUCAUCAUCCUCGUUCUGAUCUCUGCUCGUAAAUCCUCUGGAACAUGACUUCCCCAUGGACCUGAUGCGCUGUCUUACCAGUAGAUAAUGCAGGUUGUACGUGCCACAACUGACAGUGAAGACGUGAGUUAUCAGAACCAUCAAUGACGAUUAGUACCGUGAGAACAAGCAAUAGCUGAACGGUUGGACUUGUGGGAGUAGUAAUUAAUUGUUAAAAU